rnacentral:rRNA from 1 species
GACCUAGGCGGCGAACGGGUGAGUAACACGUGAGAAACCUGCCCCGAAGUCUGGGAUAACCCGAGGAAACUCGAGCUAAUACCGGAUGUCUUCUUCUGAUCGCAUGGUCGGAUGAAGAAAGAUUUAUCGCUUCGGGAGGGUCUCGCGGCCUAUCAGCUAGUUGGCGGGGUAACGGCCCACCAAGGCGUCGACGGGUAGCUGGUCUGAGAGGACGAUCAGCCACACUGGGACUGAGACACGGCCCAGACUCCUACGGGAGGCAGCAGUGGGGAAUAUUGCGCAAUGGGCGAAAGCCUGACGCAGCAACGCCGCGUGCGGGAUGAAGGCCUUCGGGUUGUAAACCGCUUUCAGUGGGGACGAAUUCAGACGGUACCCACAGAAGAAGCCCCGGCCAACUACGUG